UACGAAGGGGGCUAGCGUUGUUCGGAUUUACUGGGCGUAAAGCGCACGUAGGCGGACUAUUAAGUCAGGGGUGAAAUCCCGGGGCUCAACCCCGGAACUGCCUUUGAUACAGCAAGUCUUGAGUUCGAGAGAGGUGGGUGGAAUUCCUAGUGUAGAGGUGAAAUUCGUAGAUAUUAGGAAGAACACCGGUGGCGAAGGCGGCCCACUGGCUCGAUACUGACGCUGAGGUGCGAAAGCGUGGGGAGCAAACAGG
rnacentral:rRNA from 1 species